AGUGAGUGGCGAACGGGUGAGUAACACGUGAGUAACCUGCCCUCUUCUUUGGGAUAACGCCCGGAAACGGGUGCUAAUACUGGAUAUUCACUGAUCUUCGCAUGGGGGUUGGUGGAAAGGUUUUUUCUGGUGGGGGAUGGGCUCGCGGCCUAUCAGCUUGUUGGUGGGGUGAUGGCCUACCAAGGCUUUGACGGGUAGCCGGCCUGAGAGGGUGACCGGUCACAUUGGGACUGAGAUACGGCCCAG
rnacentral:rRNA from 1 species